GACGAACGCUGGCGGCGUGCCUAAUACAUGCAAGUAGAACGCAGUUGCGAACGGGUGAGUAACGCGUAGGUAACUGCCUGGUAGCGGGGGAUAACUAUUUGAAACGAUAGCUAAUACCGCAUACUACCAGAUGGACCUGCGUUGUAUUAGCUAGUUGGGGGGGUAACGGAUUACCAAGGCGACGAUACAUAGCCGACCUGAGAGGGUGAUCGGGCAAACUGGGAGUGAGACACGGCCCAGACUCCUACGGGAGGCAGCAGUAGGGAAUCGUCGGCAAUGGACGGAAUUCUGAACGAGCAACGCCGCGUGAGUGAAGAAGGUUUUCGGAUCGUAAAGCUCGGUUGUAAGAGAAGCGGUAUCUUACCAGAAAGGGACGGCUAACUACGUGCCAGCAGCCGCGGUAAUUC
rnacentral:rRNA from 1 species